CCUGCCCACUGAAAAAUUUUAAAUGGCCGCAGUAAUUUGACUGUGCAAAGGUAGCAUAAUCAUUAGUUUUUUAAUUAAAAGCUUGUAUGAAGGGUUGGACGAGAUAAAAUCUGUCUUUAUUUAAAUAAUAUAUAAUUUAAUUUUUAAGUUAAAAAGCUUAAAUUUUUAUAAAAGACGAGAAGACCCUAUAGAUCUUUAUAUUAUUAUAUUAUAAUUUUAUUUAAGAAUUAUGAUUUUUUUUAUUAUAUAUAAUAUUUUAUUGGGGUAAUAAAAAGAUUAAAAAAAUUCUUUUUGAUAUUUAACAUUAAUUUAUGAAUUUAUGAUCCAAUUAUUUUGAUUAUAAGAUUAAGUUACCUUAGGGAUAACAGCGUAAUUUUUUUAGAGAGUUCAUAUCGAUAAAAAAGUUUGCGACCUCGAUGUUGGAUUAAAAAUUGUUUUAGGCGCAGAAGUUUAAAAAUUUGGUCUGUUCGACCAUUAAAUUUUUACAUGAUCUGAGUUCAGACCGGCGUAAGCCAGGUCGGUUUCUAUCUUUAUUUAUUUAGAAUAUUUUAGUACGAAAGGACCAAAUAUUUAAUAUACUAAUAUUUUAAAUUUUGAAUAUUAUUAAU
rnacentral:rRNA from 1 species